rnacentral:rRNA from 1 species
GAUGAACGCUAGCGGGAGGCCUAACACAUGCAAGCCGAGCGGUAGAGUUUCUUCGGAAACUUGAGAGCGGCGCACGGGUGCGUAACACGUGUGCAACCUACCUUUAUCUGGGGGAUAGCCUUUCGAAAGGAGGAUUAAUACCCCAUAAUAUAAUGAUUGGCAUCAAUUAUUAUUGAAAACUCCGGUGGAUAGAGAUGGGCACGCGCAAGAUUAGAUAGUUGGUGAGGUAACGGCUCACCAAGUCAAUGAUCUUUAGGGGUCCUGAGAGGGAGAUCCCCCACACUGGUACUGAGACACGGACCAGACUCCUACGGGAGGCAGCAGUGAGGAAUAGUGGACAAUGGGUGAGAGCCUGAUCCAGCCAUCCCGCGUGAAGGAUGACGGUCCUAUGGAUUGUAAACUUCUUUUGUACAGGGAUAAACCUACCCUCGUGAGGGUAGCUGAAGGUACUGUACGAAUAAGCACCGGCUAACUCCGUG